rnacentral:tRNA from 1 species
GCGGGUGUGACGCAGUGGUAGCGUAUCAGCUUCCCAAGCUGAAUGUCGUGGGUUCGACCCCCAUCACCCGCUCCA